rfam:Triticum aestivum genome assembly, contig: Triticum_aestivum_CS42_TGACv1_scaffold_049593_1BS
UAUGUACUCCCUCCGUCCGGAAAUACUUGUCAUCAAAAUGAAUAGAAGGGAAUGUAUCUAGACGUAUAUUAGUUAUAGAUACAUCACUUUCUAUCCAUUUUGAUGACAAUUAUUUUCGGACGGAGGGAGUAUGAG